rnacentral:rRNA from 1 species
UACGUAGGGGGGCAAGCGUUGUCCGGAAUCAUUGGGCGUAAAGAGCGUGUAGGCGGUUCGAUAAGUCGGCUGUGAAAGUCCAGGGCUCAACCCUGGGAUGCCGGUCGAAACUGUCGGACUAGAGUUCGGAAGAGGCGAGUGGAAUUCCCGGUGUAGCGGUGAAAUGCGCAGAUAUCGGGAGGAACACCAAUGGCGAAGGCAGCUCGCUGGGACGUUACUGACGCUGAGACGCGAAAGCGUGGGGAGCAAACAGG